rnacentral:rRNA from 1 species
GACGAACGCUGGCGGCGUGCUUAACACAUGCAAGUCGAACGGAAAACCUCUUCUUGCGGGGUCCUCGACUAACGAAUGGGUGACUCACACGCAACUUACCCCCCCUUCUCUUCUGACUCCGCCAGAGUAGCUGUGUUUACUACUGUUUAGCACUCCCCUCAUGGGUGGUGGUUGGAAGGUUUUUUCGGUGUAGGUUGGGCCCGCGGCCUAUCAGCUUGUUGGUGGGGUAAUGGCCUCCCAAGGCGGCACCGGGUAGCCGGCCCGGGAGGGUGGACGGCCACAGUGGGACUUGGAGACGGCCCAGACUCCCACGGGGGGCAGCAGGUGGGAAUAAUGCACAAUGGGCGGAAGCCGGAUGCAGCGACGCCGGGUGGGGGAUGACGGCCUUCGGGUUGUAAACUCCGUUCGCGAGGGACGAAGCUGUUUGUGACGGUACCUAGAGAAGAAGCACCGGCUAACUACGUG